rnacentral:misc_RNA from 1 species
UGUUGGGUCGUCCCGACGCCCACCGCCUUCGGUCAGUGCAAACAAAUCUCGUGAUAAAUAGCGUCGGUGUGGGUCGCGGACAGUUGCGGUCAAGCUGUUAGCGUGACUAGAAGGUCCACGAAGCGGUUUUUAACUUAAGGGUUAAAACGACCCCCUCGCGGUCGGAAAGUUUUCGAAUGUCACAAGGUGAAAGCGAUUAUAAGACAUCGAUAAAUUUUAAUAAAGUGAUUUUUUUUUUUCGUCGACCAAUACGAAUGUAAAUUGGUGCGCGGUGAACUUAAACGGUUGAGGAUGAGGCAUAAAGCGACCCAUUAAGCGACCAUAAUGGCAGAAAACGUCAAGGUUAUAGUAAGAUGUCGGCCCAUGAACAAGAGAGAAACAGAAAACAAUUGCAAGUGUGUUAUCAAAAUACAUAACCCAUCGGUAGAAACCUGGGACCCGGGAGAGGGCACAACCUUCCCUAAAACGUUCACAUUCGACUCCACAUACGACCAAAAUUCAUCCACGGAAGCGAUUUAUAAUGACAUUUGUUACCCACUAGUGGAGAGCGUCCUAGAGGGUUAUAACGCAACGAUAUUCGUAUAUGGACAAACCGGUUGCGGCAAGUCGUUUACCAUGGAAGGAAUUCCCAGUCAGAAAGGGGUGAUCUCCCGGGCUUUCGAGCACUUGUUCGAAGCCAUUUCAGUCACCAGUGGGGUCAAAUAUCUCGCUUUGGUUAGCUAUUUGGAAAUUUAUAAUGAGCAAAUUAGGGAUUUAUUGGUGCCAAAUGACAAGAUGACCAACGGUGUUACGCUAUCCUUGAAAGAGACACCUACAGAGGGCGUAACCGUUCCAGGCCUCACCCAACAUCCUAUACACAACUCCCAAGAAGCCGAACAUUACCUCAACGUCGGUUCGAAAAACCGCAUGAUCGGCGCAACCCUUAUGAACCAAAACAGCUCCAGAAGCCACAGCAUUUUCACCAUCAGCAUCGAACAGUUGAACAACGUCAACAACAACCAGAGCAUCCGAAAAGGUACUAUAUUGAAAAACAAAAAUUGGGAAAACUCAAUUUUGUUUUUUGCAGGAAAAUUAAAUCUAGUCGACUUGGCGGGAUCAGAACGUCAAACCAAGACGGGAGCCACCGGGGAUCGACUGAAAGAAGCCACCAAAAUCAAUUUAUCCUUAAGCGCCCUCGGGAACGUCAUUUCAGCCCUGGUGGACGGAAAAGCCAAACACAUCCCUUAUAGGGACUCCAAGCUCACCAGACUGUUACAGGACUCUUUGGGGGGCAACACGCGCACCCUAAUGAUAGCCUGCAUCAGUCCAGCUGAUAGGGAUUAUAUGGAAACCCUGUCCACCCUAAGAUACGCCAAUAGGGCCAAAAACAUCAGCAACAAACCGAAAGUCAACGAGGACCCCAAAGACACGAUUCUGAGGCAGUACCAAGAGGAAAUCGAGCGUCUCAAGGCACUUUUGAGUACCCGACAAGAGGGCGACAUCAAAAUCGUGGACUUGGAAGAGAGUGAGGUGAACAAAAAUGUGGUUUCCAGAAAUGAGGAGUUGGGCGUGAGGAGGGACAAGCUGCUGCAAGAGUACCAGAAAGAGAUGGAUAAGUUGAGGAAUUUACAUGAGAGUGAGAAGAACCAAAAGGAAACUGUCCUGAAGCAAAUCCAAGCGAUCAAGCUGGAAUACGAAGAGAACAUUAGAAGAUUGAACGAGGAGAAGUUGAAUAAAGAGGUGACGUCCACCGAUGAGGUGAUGAGGAGGAUAGAGGAGCUUAAGAAGGCCCUGAUUGGCGGUGAGAAGGCUUAUGAUAAGGAGCUGUCCGAGAGGAGGUUGAGAAAAAAGAGGGCUGCGGAGGAGAGGGCCAAUUUAAUAGCUCACUUGUUGGCCAAAAUCGACAUGAACGAGGACAGAGAAACCCUCCAGAACCAAUACAAAGACAUCAGCCAGGAACUGAACCUAAAAACCGAAAUACUGAGAAAAUACCGACAUAAAGUGAAAAUGUUAGAAAAGGAAAUCACUGACCUCCAAGGUGAGUUCCAACAGGAGCGUGAGGACUAUUUGGAAACCGUGAGGAGGCAGGAGAAGAACCUCAAAUUACUCAGCCAGAUAAACGACAAGUUAGUCGGGACUUUAAAGAAGGAUUGUAACUAUACGGACUUGGAGGCUAUAAAGGACCAAGCAGUAUGGUUAGAAGAGAGUCAAAAGUUUAAACUUCCCGAUUUGGUGAUUCCGCGUACUAAAUUGCCACCAGCCGACGAAUAAUGCCAACCCUCAAGAUAUUAUAGCGAGCUAUUUUCAACCAGCGACCAAAAGGGCCACGGAGCUCCUAAAUCAGUCGAAAUCCGGAACGGUCGAUCCCCAUAAGGUUUUUAACACGUGGAGAGGCCACCGUAACUUUCCAGAU